UACGUAGGCAGCAAGCGUUGUUCGGAAUUACUGGGCGUAAAGAGUGUGUAGGCGGUGCUCUAAGUUUGUCGUGAAAUCUCCCGGCUUAACUGGGAGGGUGCGGCGAAAACUGGAAUGCUAGAGGAUGGGAGAGGUAAGCGGAAUUCCUGGUGUAGCGGUGAAAUGCGUAGAUAUCAGGAGGAACACCUGUGGUGUAGACAGCUUACUGGACCAUUUCUGACGCCGAGACACGAAAGCGUGGGUAGCAAACAGG
rnacentral:rRNA from 1 species